UACGAAGGAUGCAAGCGUUAUCCGGAUUCAUUGGGCUUAAAGGGAGCGUAGGUGGCCUUAUAAGUCAGUGGUGAAAUCUCUGGGCUUAACUCAGAAAUUGCCAUUGAUACUGUAGGGCUUGAGUAUAGUUGCCGUUGGCGGAAUAUGACAUGUAGUGGUGAAAUACAUAGAGAUGUCAUAGAACACCGAUUGCGAAGGCAGCUGACGAAACUAUAACUGACACUGAGGCUCGAAAGUGCGGGGAUCAAACAGG
rnacentral:rRNA from 1 species